ACCCACGAUGAAUCUUACCACUUCUUGUUACAGGUGUUGCAUGGCUGUCUUUAGUUCGUGUUGUGAAAUGUUAGGUUUAUUCCGAUAACGAACGCAAUCCUUAUCUUUAAUUACAAGAAUUCUCCUGCGAUAGGCAGGACCUAUUAGGGUGAAGACAAGUCCUCAUGACCCUUAUGAAGUGGGCUACAGACGUGCUACAAAAGUUUUUACAAAAGGAUGCAACCAUGAAAAUGUGAGCUAAUCCCUAAAGAAA
rnacentral:rRNA from 1 species